UGGGAUUCGUGCGACACUGGUUGCCUGCUGAUGGUUCAUUUACAUACAGCGACAUCACGUGUCCAGGCCCGUGUCUCCGAGCUGCGUCACUAGCCGGCUUUGAAGCUUCUGGGUGUUUCUGACGAGUCAUUGGUUUAAUGGCACAUCGAUCAUUGACAGUCCCGCCCACUUACGUACCCAGCAGUGACUUGUGGAUGGUUGAGAACUUGAAGGUGGAAUAUGAAGUUCGGUGAACACAGGUGCAGAUUUCAUGACGUUUCAGAAGUCACAGUCCAAGAAUCCGGCUCUGUUCUCACCAUGGAUAGUCAUAGUGCUCCAUCUACUGGCGGGAUCAUGUAGUGCAGCAUUUACAUCCCUGAAUUUCUACCAGUUGACAUCUAUGGGGGGUUACAGUGAUAUGGGUGCUCUAAAAAAAUAAUAAAAAAUCCCGGAGACCA